CGUCAAACGAAGAAUAUCAAGUCUGACGCAGAGCUGGCCAUAUUUCUCAGAACGUUCGGUAACAAUCCUACAAAUCGCACCUUUAAAAGGGGAUGCCAGAGGUUCAGAUCUUCAUUCUACAGCAAUCAGUCAACAAGUACAGAUGAUUACAGAACAGUGGUACAGAUACAGAGAAAGAAAGCCAAAUAGCAUAGAUCACAAGACCUGGUGAUCCAACCAUGGCCGAAAGGUCUGUUAGGAUUUCAUGUGUCCCAUCUGAAGGGCAGCUGGACACCAACUUCCAGGAGGGGAGGCUGAGGAGGCCGACCCCUGACAAGAGAGAGCUGGAUCAGUGGGUGAAGGAGCUGGAGAGAAAGGUGGCGAGGGACAGGAUGAGGGACGAGCUGCGGCGAAUGAGAGAGGCUGUGCACAGAAGGAGCAAAGAGAUGUGGGCAAGACAGUGGGAGUGGCAUAUCUGUCAGGUGGAACUGAAGAAAAAGCAGGAAGAGAGAGAGAGAGAGAAGGUGCCCAGCUGACAGGACUGGAGGAGAGGGUGAUGAGAAAAAGAGAUGACAACAUGGCAACGCUGAGAGAGCAGGAGAGAGUGAUGAAUGAUAUCAAGAAAAAAGCAGUGGAGGAAGAGAGACAGAUAAGGGAGAUGGAAGAGAAAGUGAGAGAGUGUGAGAGAGUGUUGAGAAAACACAUGAAGGAGGAAGAAAGACACAUAAGAGACAUGGAAGAAAAAGUGAGAGAGCAGGAGACAAUGUUGAAAGAAAAAGUAAAGGAGAACAAAAGACAGAUAAGGGAGAUGGAAGAGAAAGUGAGAGAGUCUGAAAGAAGUGUUGAGAAAACAUGUGAAGGAGGAAGAAAGAUUGAUACAAGAGGUGAAAGAGAAAGCGACAGAGCAGGAGAGACUGUUGUGAGCAAAGGCAAAGGAGGAAGAAAGAGGGAUGAGGAAAAUGGCAGAGAAAGUGAGAGAGAAAGAGAGAAUGCUAAGAGAGAUGCAGAAAACAGCAAAGGAAGAAGACAUGAAAAUGAGAGAGAUAAAAGAAAAAGCCAGCAAACAUAAGAGAAUCUUCGGAGAGCUGGAGAGAACAGCGAAGGACCAGGAAACAAAAAUGAGAGAAAUAGAAGAGAAAGUGAGUGAGGAGGAGCAAAUGUUGAGAGAAAAAGUGAAAGAAGGAGAAAGAUGCAGAGAAGCAGAAGAACAAGUGGCAGAGCAGGAGAGAAUGAGAGAAAUUAUGAAAAAAGCGAUGGAGGAAGAAAAUAAAAUGAGGGACAUGGAAGAGAAAGCAAGAGAUCGGGAGUCAAUUUUGAGAGAGGCAGAGAAAAAAAUGAAGGAAAAAGAACAGAGAAAAGAGAUGGAAGUAGAAGUGCGAGAACAUGAGAGAAUGUUGAGAGAAUGUUGAGAGAAAAAGUUAAGGGGACAGAAAGACAGACGAGCGAGAUGAUGGAGAAAGCGAGAGAGCAGGAGAGAAUUCAUCUAGAGAUGGAGAGACAACCAAAGGAGGAAGAGAGACGAACGAAGGAGAUGGUAGAAGCAGCAAUAGAACGGAGGAGAAAACUGAGAGAGAUGAAGAAUAAAGCAGAGAAGGAAAGAGGAAUGAAGGUAGAGAAAGCGAGAGAGCAGGAGCAAACUAUGGAGUCCGAGGACUGUGGCGCAGAGCACGACACAUACACAUACACAGACUCAGGCGAUUCUUUGAUGGAUGAGGAGGAAGAGAAGGAAGCAAUCAAGAGACGAGAACAAAUGGGUGAGAGAAGACAAGAAGAAAAGCUUAGAGAGAAGAUCUUAUUGGCGGUCGAAAGGGAAGAUCCUCAUUAGCUUACGAGAAAGAGAGAGAGGAGAAAAUGGCAAAGGAGAGCGAGGAAGAGAGAAAGUUGAGAGAGGCAGAAGAAAAAGCAAGAGAGCAGGACAAAUUAAGAAAAGAGAUGAAGGCAAAGGCUGAAGAAGAGGAAAGGAGAAGGAGAGAGAUGGAAGAGGAGCGAUUGAGAAAUGCGAGAAGGAGGCGGCGGGGACCGAGGGAAGUGUUUGAGGAGUUCUAUUUUUCGCUCAUAGUAACAUUUUUUGACCUUAAACGGCAUUAUAAAUAAAAACGUACAAAGGUCUCGUUUAGUUCUUUUGUUAAAAUGAUUUACACUUGGUUCACAUUUUACACAGUGUCAUAUAUUUUUUUUAGAAUUGGGUUUGUAGGCUAAUAAAGGCAUUUGCACAUUG